AACGCUAGCUACAGGCUUAACACAUGCAAGUCGAGGGGCAGCAUGGUCUUAGCUUGCUAAGGCCGAUGGCGACCGGCGCACGGGUGAGUAACACGUAUCCAACCUGCCGUCUACUCUUGGACAGCCUUCUGAAAGGAAGAUUAAUACAAGAUGGCAUCAUGAGUCCGCAUGUUCACAUGAUUAAAGGUAUUCCGGUAGACGAUGGGGAUGCGUUCCAUUAGAUAGUAGGCGGGGUAACGGCCCACCUAGUCUUCGAUGGAUAGGGGUUCUGAGAGGAAGGUCCCCCACAUUGGAACUGAGACACGGUCCAAACUCCUACGGGAGGCAGCAGUGAGGAAUAUUGGUCAAUGGGCGAGAGCCUGAACCAGCCAAGUAGCGUGAAGGAUGACUGCCCUAUGGGUUGUAAACUUCUUUUAUAAAGGAAUAAAGUCGGGUAUGGAUACCCGUUUGCAUGUACUUUAUGAAUAAGGAUCGGCUAACUCCGUGCCAGCAGCCGCGGUAAUACGGAGGAUCCGAGCGUUAUCCGGAUUUAUUGGGUUUAAAGGGAGCGUAGAUGGAUGUUUAAGUCAGUUGUGAAAGUUUGCGGCUCAACCGUAAAAUUGCAGUUGAUACUGGAUAUCUUGAGUGCAGUUGAGGCAGGCGGAAUUCGUGGUGUAGCGGUGAAAUGCUUAGAUAUCACGAAGAACUCCGAUUGCGAAGGCAGCCUGCUAAGCUGCAACUGACAUUGAGGCUCGAAAGUGUGGGUAUCAAACAGGAUUAGAUACCCUGGUAGUCCACACGGUAAACGAUGAAUACUCGCUGUUUGCGAUAUACGGCAAGCGGCCAAGCGAAAGCGUUAAGUAUUCCACCUGGGGAGUACGCCGGCAACGGUGAAACUCAAAGGAAUUGACGGGGGCCCGCACAAGCGGAGGAACAUGUGGUUUAAUUCGAUGAUACGCGAGGAACCUUACCCGGGCUUAAAUUGCAGAUGAAUUACGGUGAAAGCCGUAAGCCGCAAGGCAUCUGUGAAGGUGCUGCAUGGUUGUCGUCAGCUCAUGCCGUGAGGUGUCGGCUUAAGUGCCAUAACGAGCGCAACCCUUGUUGUCAGUUACUAACAGGUUCUGCUGAGGACUCUGACAAGACUGCCAUCGUAAGAUGUGAGGAAGGUGGGGAUGACGUCAAAUCAGCACGGCCCUUACGUCCGGGGCUACACACGUGUUACAAUGGGGGGUACAGAGGGCCGCUACCACGCGAGUGGAUGCCAAUCCCCAAAACCUCUCUCAGUUCGGACUGGAGUCUGCAACCCGACUCCACGAAGCUGGAUUCGCUAGUAAUCGCGCAUCAGCCACGGCGCGGUGAAUACGUUCCCGGGCCUUGUACACACCGCCCGUCAAGCCAUGGGAGCCGGGGGUACCUGAAGUGCGUAACCGCGAGGAGCGCCCUAGGGUAAAACUGGUGACUGGGGCUAAG
rnacentral:rRNA from 1 species